UUAAGCGACUAAGCGUACACGGUGGAUGCCCUGGCAGUCAGAGGCGAUGAAGGACGUGCUAAUCUGCGAAAAGCGUCGGUAAGGUGAUAUGAACCGUUAUAACCGGCGAUGUCCGAAUGGGGAAACCCAGUGCAAUUCGUUGCACUAUCGUUAACUGAAUACAUAGGUUAACGAGGCGAACCGGGGGAACUGAAACAUCUAAGUACCCCGAGGAAAAGAAAUCAACCGAGAUUCCCCCAGUAGCGGCGAGCGAACGGGGAGCAGCCCAGAGUCUGAAUCAGCUUGUGUGUUAGUGGAACGGUCUGGAAAGUCCGACGGUACAGGGUGAUAGUCCCGUACACCAAAAUGCACAGGUUGUGAACUCGAAGAGUAGGGCGGGACACGUGGUAUCCUGUCUGAAUAUGGGGGGACCAUCCUCCAAGGCUAAAUACUCCUGACUGACCGAUAGUGAACCAGUACCGUGAGGGAAAGGCGAAAAGAACCCCGGCGAGGGGAGUGAAAAAGAACCUGAAACCGUGUACGUACAAGCAGUGGGAGCACCUUCGGGUGUGACUGCGUACCUUUUGUAUAAUGGGUCAGCGACUUAUAUUCUGUAGCAAGGUUAACCGUAUAGGGGAGCCGCAGGGAAACCGAGUCUUAACUGGGCGUUAAGUUGCAGGGUAUAGACCCGAAACCCGGUGAUCUAGCCAUGGGCAGGUUGAAGGUUGGGUAACACUAACUGGAGGACCGAACCGACUAAUGUUGAAAAAUUAGCGGAUGACUUGUGGCUGGGGGUGAAAGGCCAAUCAAACCGGGAGAUAGCUGGUUCUCCCCGAAAGCUAUUUAGGUAGCGCCUCGUGAACUCAUCUUCGGGGGUAGAGCACUGUUUCGGCUAGGGGGUCAUCCCGACUUACCAACCCGAUGCAAACUACGAAUACCGAAGAAUGUUAUCACGGGAGACACACGGCGGGUGCUAACGUCCGUCGUGAAGAGGGAAACAACCCAGACCGCCAGCUAAGGUCCCAAAGUCAUGGUUAAGUGGGAAACGAUGUGGGAAGGCACAGACAGCCAGGAUGUUGGCUUAGAAGCAGCCAUCAUUUAAAGAAAGCGUAAUAGCUCACUGGUCGAGUCGGCCUGCGCGGAAGAUGUAACGGGGCUAAACCAUGCACCGAAGCUGCGGCAGCGACACUAUGUGUUGUUGGGUAGGGGAGCGUUCUGUAAGCCUGCGAAGGUGACCUGUGAGGGUUGCUGGAGGUAUCAGAAGUGCGAAUGCUGACAUAAGUAACGAUAAAGCGGGUGAAAAGCCCGCUCGCCGGAAGACCAAGGGUUCCUGUCCAACGUUAAUCGGGGCAGGGUGAGUCGACCCCUAAGGCGAGGCCGAAAGGCGUAGUCGAUGGGAAACAGGUUAAUAUUCCUGUACUUGGUGUUACUGCGAAGGGGGGACGGAGAAGGCUAUGUUAGCCGGGCGACGGUUGUCCCGGUUUAAGCAUGUAGGCUGGUUGUCCAGGCAAAUCCGGAUAAUCAAGGCUGAGGUGUGAUGACGAGGCACUACGGUGCUGAAGUAACAAAUGCCCUGCUUCCAGGAAAAGCCUCUAAGCAUCAGGUAACAUCAAAUCGUACCCCAAACCGACACAGGUGGUCAGGUAGAGAAUACCAAGGCGCUUGAGAGAACUCGGGUGAAGGAACUAGGCAAAAUGGUGCCGUAACUUCGGGAGAAGGCACGCUGGUGUGUAGGUGAAGUCCCUGCGGAUGGAGCUGAGACCAGUCGAAGAUACCAGCUGGCUGCAACUGUUUAUUAAAAACACAGCACUGUGCAAACACGAAAGUGGACGUAUACGGUGUGACGCCUGCCCGGUGCCGGAAGGUUAAUUGAUGGGGUUAUCCGUAAGGAGAAGCUCUUGAUCGAAGCCCCGGUAAACGGCGGCCGUAACUAUAACGGUCCUAAGGUAGCGAAAUUCCUUGUCGGGUAAGUUCCGACCUGCACGAAUGGCGUAAUGAUGGCCAGGCUGUCUCCACCCGAGACUCAGUGAAAUUGAACUCGCUGUGAAGAUGCAGUGUACCCGCGGCAAGACGGAAAGACCCCGUGAACCUUUACUAUAGCUUGACACUGAACAUUGAGCCUUGAUGUGUAGGAUAGGUGGGAGGCUUUGAAGCGUGGACGCCAGUCUGCGUGGAGCCAACCUUGAAAUACCACCCUUUAAUGUUUGAUGUUCUAACGUUGGCCCCUGACCGGGGUUGCGGACAGUGUCUGGUGGGUAGUUUGACUGGGGCGGUCUCCUCCCAAAGCGUAACGGAGGAGCACGAAGGUUAGCUAAUCCUGGUCGGACAUCAGGAGGUUAGUGCAAUGGCAUAAGCUAGCUUGACUGCGAGCGUGACGGCGCGAGCAGGUGCGAAAGCAGGUCAUAGUGAUCCGGUGGUUCUGAAUGGAAGGGCCAUCGCUCAACGGAUAAAAGGUACUCCGGGGAUAACAGGCUGAUACCGCCCAAGAGUUCAUAUCGACGGCGGUGUUUGGCACCUCGAUGUCGGCUCAUCACAUCCUGGGGCUGAAGUAGGUCCCAAGGGUAUGGCUGUUCGCCAUUUAAAGUGGUACGCGAGCUGGGUUUAGAACGUCGUGAGACAGUUCGGUCCCUAUCUGCCGUGGGCGCUGGAGAAUUGAGGGGGGCUGCUCCUAGUACGAGAGGACCGGAGUGGACGCAUCACUGGUGUUCGGGUUGUCAUGCCAAUGGCACUGCCCGGUAGCUAAAUGCGGAAGAGAUAAGUGCUGAAAGCAUCUAAGCACGAAACUUGCCCCGAGAUGAGUUCUCCCUGAGACUUUAAGUCUCCUGAAGGAACGUUAAAGACGAUGACGUUGAUAGGCCGGGUGUGUAAGCGCAGCGAUGCGUUGAGCUAACCGGUACUAAUGAACCGUGAGGCUUAACCUU
rnacentral:rRNA from 1 species